rnacentral:rRNA from 1 species
UCGGGUUGUAAAGCACUUUUGUCCGGAAAGAAAACCUUCGCUCGAAUACAGUGGGGGGAUGACGGUACCGGAAGAAUAAGCACCGGCUAACUACGUGCCAGCAGCGCGGUAAUCGUAGGGUGCGAGCGUUAAUCGGAAUUACUGGGCGUAAAGCGUGCGCAGGCGGUUCGUUAAGACAGAUGUGAAAUCCCCGGGCUUAACCUGGGAACUGCAUUUGUGACUGGCGAGCUAGAGUAUGGCAGAGGGGGGUCGAAUUCCACGUGUAGCAGUGAAAUGCGUAGAGAUGUGGAGGAAUACCGAUGGCGAAGGCAGCCCCCUGGGCCAAUACUGACGCUCAUGCACGAAAGCGUGGGGAGCAAACAGGAUUAGAUACCCUGGUAGUCCACGCCCUAAACGAUGUCAACUAGUUGUUGGGGAUUCAUUUCCUUAGUAACGUAGCUAACGCGUGAAGUUGACCGCCUGGGGAGUACGGUCGCAAGAUUAAAACUCAAAGGAAUUGACGGGGACCCGCACAAGCGGUGGAUGAUGUGGAUUAAUUCGAUGCAACGCGAAAAACCUUACCUACCCUUGACAUGGUCGGAACCCUGCUG